CCUCGUCUCUACUAAAAACACAAAAUUAUCCGGGCAUGGUGGCACAUGCUUGUAAUCCCAGCUACUCAGAAAGGCUGAGGCAGGAGAAUCACUUGAACCCAGGAGGCAGAGGUUGUGGUGAGCCGAGAUGGAGCCAUUGCAUUCCAGCCUGAGCAACAAGAGUGAAAAAAAAAAGAAAAAAGCUCAAUUAUGUGUCUCAAAAAAAAAAAAAAAGAAAGAAAAGAGCUAAAUUAUGUGGUGCUUUGGAAGCUGGGACCACAUGGACUCUUAAGAGGGAUGGCACCUUCUAAGAGGUUCCAAGGGCGGAAACAAGGGGCAGUUCCACUGGGUUUCAGACACAGAGAUCCCAGCCUGGAUUGUCGUGGAGGAUGAAGCUGCUCCAUCUUGGAUGCUGAUCCGCCAUGUUGUCCUCUGGUUAACCCCUGUUCUGGAAUGCCUCCUCUAAGAUUGCCACUUUAUCUACUGUGACCUUAAAUCCUGCUCUUAGGUAGAUUCACAUAGCAUUCUGCGCCUUUCCCUGAGGGGUUGACUUCAGUGGUGCCACACAUUUCUACUGAGGCAUGUGUACCUUUUGCAUCAGGUAUAUCAGCCCUGGGACUCGGGGAUAACUGACUGACGGCUGCCUGGCUUCUGUUUCUAAGUUGCUAUUAAAUGUUUCUUUCUGAGAAACUGGA
rnacentral:lncRNA from 10 species